UCUUAAAUUGGGAUUGCCACUUCGGGAUGCUUUAGCCCACACUUACCUGGAUCAACUGUGGGUAAUUCUAGAGCUAAGACAUGCACCAGUCUCUACCGCAGGGAAGAGCGCUUUUAUUAGUUCAAAACCGGUGGGCCUCGUCCGUCACCCCAUUGUGUUGAAUCUGAAUAACUUUGAGCUGAGCGCACGGUCUCCGCACCGGCGCCGCCUCUUUCAAGUGUCUGCCUUAUCAGCUUUCGAUUGUAGGUUAUACGCCUACCAUGGCUAUAACGGGUAACGGGGAAUCAGGGUUCGAUUCCGGAGAGGGAGCCGGAGAAACGGCUACCACAUCUAAGGAAGGCAGCAUGCACGCAAAUUACCCACUCCCGGCACGGGGAGGUAGUGACGAAAAAUAACGAUGCGAGACUCACCGAGGCCUCGCAAUCGGGAAUGAGUACACUUUAAAUCCUUUAACGAGGAUCUUUUGGAGGGCAAGUCUGGUGCCAGCAGCCGCGGUAAUUCCAGCUCCAAUAGCGUAUAUUAAAGUUGUUGCGGUUAAAAAGCUCGUAGUUGGAUUUCAGUUCUGGACUGACGGUUCACCGCCCGGUGCACACUGUCACGCUCCGAACAGUUUUUAACCGCCCGCUGGCUCGCACGGGGUGCUCUUCAUCGAGUGUCCCGCGUGGCCGGCAGAGUUUACUUUGAAAAAAUUAGAGUGCUCAAAGCAGGCUACAUUGACGGCCUGAAGGCCUAUGCAUGGAAUAAUGGAAUAGGACCUCGGUUCUAUUUUGUUGGUUUUCUGAACCCGAGGUAAUGACUAAUAGGAACAGGCGGGGGCAUUCGUACUGC
rnacentral:rRNA from 1 species